CAGGGAGACAACAAAAUGUUUAAUAUUAUUAUUUUGUCACCUUAGGUCGAUCGGUAUCUCACGUUCUUAAUUUGUUAAGAAUUUCAUUUCCUAAGUUUUUCUAGGUCACACCCAUUAUUUUUCCUGGGCCAUUAGCUCAGGUGGUUAGAGCGCACCCCUGAUAAGGGUGAGGUCCCUGGUUCAAGUCCAGGAUGGCCCAUAUCUCUAUGUUGGGGGUAUAGCUCAGUUGGUAGAGCGCCUGCUUUGCAAGCAGGAUGUCAGCGGUUCGAGUCCGCUUACCUCCACUGAUUACCACCUCUUACAUAACUGGUAAAAAGGAGAUGUUUUGAGUUGUGAUCAUUAUUCUGAACGAAUCUAGCUUCCUAAUGAAAUCAUUAAGAUGCUGGACUCAUUGAAUUAAUUUCAUUGUUUUCAGAGAACCUUGACAACUGCAUAGAUUAUUUUUAAAGACAAUAAGCAUCUUUAAUGAUGCAGAUUUAUUAUUUGUGCGAAUGCAUUAAUAACAAUUCUAUUAAGCUGAUGCUUCAAUUUUUUGAAGUUAUU
rnacentral:tRNA from 1 species